UACGUAGGGGGCAAGCGUUGUCCGGAUUUAUUGGGCGUAAAGAGCGUGUAGGCGGCCAGGUAGGUCUGCUGUGAAAACUCGAGGCUUAACCUCGAGAUGUCAUCGGAAACCAUCUGGCUAGAGUCCGGAAGAGGAGAGUGGAAUUCCUGGUGUAGCGGUGAAAUGCGCAGAUAUCAGGAAGAACACCAAUGGCGAAAGCAGCUCUCUGGGACGGUACUGACGCUGAGACGCGAAAGCGUGGGAGCGAACAGG
rnacentral:rRNA from 1 species